UACGGAGGGAGCUAGCGUUGUUCGGAAUUACUGGGCGUAAAGCGCACGUAGGCGGCUUUGUAAGUUAGAGGUGAAAGCCCAGAGCUCAACUCUGGAACUGCCUUUAAGACUGCAUCGCUUGAAUCAUGGAGAGGUCAGUGGAAUUCCGAGUGUAGAGGUGAAAUUCGUAGAUAUUCGGAAGAACACCAGUGGCGAAGGCGGCUCACUGGAGCUGGUAUUGACGCUGAGGAACGAAAGCCAGGGGAGCAAACGGG
rnacentral:rRNA from 1 species